rnacentral:lncRNA from 1 species
CCCACCCUGCCUGCUGGAUCCCCAGCAGUCUCUUGACACCUUGGGGGAAGGCUGGGAGGUGUAACCAUCGCCAGCGAGCGAGCGAGGGAGAGCAGGAGAGGAGGGAGAAGGAAGCCAAUAACAGGGAGGUCUAGGAAGGUGGUGGAGGGGGAGGGACGGGGCCACUCCUCCAUCGGUGGGACUGCAGAUUAUUUUGCAUGGAUUGUUGAAGAGAAAAGGGAGCUGCAUUUGUGAAGGGACCAAAAAUUAAACAGCUCAUUGCUCGGGCAGGGGCCGUGCCGGGAUCGGGAGCCCCGGGCUGUGGUAGGUGGGGCGAUGCUGCACGCGCUGUGACGGCGGGGGAUGCUCACGGAUGCACCUGGAGGAGAGGUAGUAGCGAGCCUGAGCUGAGCGCCGGGAGCGAUCCCGCAAGCGCCGGGACAACAAGCGGAACAUGAGCGAGAGCGGCCC